rnacentral:rRNA from 1 species
AGAGUUUGAUCCUGGCUCAGGAUGAACGCUGGCGGCGUGCCUAACACAUGCAAGUCGAGCGAGAAAUUCACAGAGGAAACUUCGGUAGAAUCUGAGGAUGGAAAGCGGCGGACGGGUGAGUAACGCGUAGGCAACCUGCCCUUAGCAGAGGGAUAGCCAUUGGAAACGAUGAUUAAAACCUCAUAAUACCGCACUGUCACAUGAGAGAGCGGUCAAAGAUUUAUCGGCAAAGGAUGGGCCUGCGUCUGAUUAGCUAGUUGGUGAGGUAACGGCUCACCAAGGCGACGAUCAGUAGCCGACCUGAGAGGGUGAACGGCCACAUUGGAACUGAGACACGGUCCAA